CCCUUACGGCGUCGGAGAGAUGGCGGAGUUGGACAUCGGGCAGCACUGCCAGGUGGAGCAUUGCCGGCAGCGAGAUUUUCUUCCAUUUGUGUGUGAUGAUUGUUCAGGAAUAUUUUGCCUUGAACACAGAAGCAGGGAGUCUCAUGGUUGUCCUGAGGUGACUGUAAUCAAUGAGAGACUGAAGACAGAUCAACAUACAUCUUACCCAUGCUCUUUCAAAGACUGUGCUGAGAGAGAACUUGUGGCAGUUAUAUGUCCUUACUGUGAGAAGAAUUUUUGCCUGAGACACCGUCAUCAGUCAGAUCAUGAGUGUGAAAAACUGGAAAUCCCAAAGCCUCGAAUGGCUGCCACUCAGAAACUUGUUAAAGACAUUAUUGGUAAGUAUCUAGAAAGCGUGUUUUGUUGCUUUCCUAGUUCCAGAGCUCCUGCUUCUUAUGUCUACUUUCCAAUUAUGGGAGGCAUCAUUAAUAACCCCAGUGGUAUUCGUAUUAACUUGUAUUUUGAUGAUAUUCUUGUGACAGUAUUUCUUAUGAGGUCUACCUGACCAAUGGAAAUUUGGAAAUUAUUUGGAGGUACUGCACU
rnacentral:sRNA from 1 species